GAUGAACGCUGGCGGCGUGCUUAACACAUGCAAGUCGAACGGGAAAUAUUUCAUUGAGACUUCGGUGGAUUUGAUUUAUUUCUAGUGGCGGACGGGUGAGUAACGCGUGGGUAACCUGCCUUGUACAGGGGGAUAACAGUCAGAAAUGGCUGCUAAUACCGCAUAAGCGCACAGAGCUGCAUGGCUCAGUGCGAAAAACUCCGGUGGUAUAAGAUGGACCCGCGUUGGAUUAGCUUGUUGGUGAGGUAACGGCCCACCAAGGCGACGAUCCAUAGCCGGCCUGAGAGGGUGAACAGCCACAUUGGGACUGAGACACGGCCCAGACUCCUACGGGAGGCAGCAGUGGGGAAUAUUGCACAACGGGGGAAACCCUGAUGCAGCGACGCCGCGUGAAGGAAGAAGUAUCUCGGUAUGUAAACUUCUAUCAGCAGGGAAGAUAGUGACGGUACCUGACUAAGAAGCCCCGGCUAACUACGUGCCAGCAGCCGCCGUAA
rnacentral:rRNA from 1 species